CAGUCGCCGCGGUAAUACGAAGGGUGCAAGCGUUAAUCGGAAUUACUGGGCGUAAAGCGCGCGUAGGUGGUUUGGUAAGAUGGAUGUGAAAUCCCCGGGCUCAACCUGGGAACUGCAUCCAUAACUGCCUGACUAGAGUACGGUAGAGGGUGGUGGAAUUUCCUGUGUAGCGGUGAAAUGCGUAGAUAUAGGAAGGAACACCAGUGGCGAAGGCGACCACCUGGACUGAUACUGACACUGAGGUGCGAAAGCGUGGGGAGCAAACAGGAUUAGAUACCCGAGUAGUCCCUGUCUCUUAUAA
rnacentral:rRNA from 1 species